rnacentral:rRNA from 1 species
UAGGGAAUCUUCCGCAAUGGACGCAAGUCUGACGGAGCAACGCCGCGUGAGUGAAGAAGGAUUUCGGUUCGUAAAACUCUGUUGUUAGAGAAGAACAGCGCAUAGAGUAACUGUUAUGCGUGUGACGGUAUCUAACCAGAAAGCCACGGCUAACUACGUGCCAGCAGCCGCGGUAAUACGUAGGUGGCAAGCGUUGUCCGGAUUUAUUGGGCGUAAAGCGAGCGCAGGCGGUCAAUUAAGUCUGAUGUGAAAGCCCCCGGCUCAACCGGGGGGGGUCAUUGGAAACUGGUUGACUGGGGUGCAGAAGAGUAGAGUGGAAUUCCAUGUGUAGCGGUGAAAUGCUUAGGUAUAUGGAGGAACACCAGUGGCGAAGGCGACUAUCUAGUCUAUAACUGACGCUGAGGUUCGAAAGCGUGGGUAGCAAACAGG